UUUUGGACAAUGGGCGAAAGCCUGAUCCAGCCAUGCCGCGUGAGUGAAGAAGGCCUUCGGGUUGUAAAGCUCUUUCGGCGGGGACGAAAAGGUCUGUGCUAACACCACGGAUCCAUGACGGUACCCGCCGAAGAAGCACCGGCUAACUACGUGCCAGCAGCCGCGGUAAUACGUAGGGUGCAGGCGUUAAUCGGAAUUACUGGGCGUAAAGCGUGCGCAGGCGGUCUAUUAAGACAGGUGUGAAAUCCCCGGGCUUAACCUGGGAACUGCGCUUGUAACUGAUAGGCUGGAGUGUGGCAGAGGGGGGUGGAAUUCCACGUGUAGCAGUGAAAUGCGUAGAGAUGUGGAGGAACACCGAUGGCGAAGGCAGCCCCCUGGGCUAACACUGACGCUCAUGCACGAAAGCGUGGGGAGC
rnacentral:rRNA from 1 species